rnacentral:rRNA from 1 species
AUUGAACGCUGGCGGCAUGCUUUACACAUGCAAGUCGAACGGCAGCGCGGGCUUCGGCCUGGCGGCGAGUGGCGAACGGGUGAGUAAUGCAUCGGAACGUGCCCAGUAGUGGGGGAUAGCCCGGCGAAAGCCGGAUUAAUAGCGCAUACGACCUGAGGGUGAAAGCGGGGGACCGAAAGGCCUCGCGCUAUUGGAGCGGCCGAUGUCGGAUUAGCUAGUUGGUGGGGUAAAGGCUUACCAAGGCGACGAUCCGUAGCUGGUCUGAGAGGACGACCAGCCACACUGGGACUGAGACACGGCCCAGACUCCUACGGGAGGCAGCAGUGGGGAAUUUUGGACAAUGGGGGCAACCCUGAUCCAGCCAUGCCGCGUGCGGGAAGAAGGCCUUCGGGUUGUAAACCGCUUUUGUUCGGGAAGAAAUCCUCUGGGCUAAUACCCCGGGGGGAUGACGGUACCGGAAGAAUAAGCACCGGCUAACUACGUG